GACGAACGCUGGCGGCGUGCUUAACACAUGCAAGUCGAACGAGAGCGACCGGCGCUUGCACGGGUCAAUCUUGUGGAGAACGGGUGUGUCACAUGUGUGUACUCUCCUCAACUUUGGGGUAAAUUCUGGGGACUCGGGCGCUAACAGCGUAUAGGUCCCUGAGGCGCGUGGCGUGUAGGGAAGUAUCGGCGGAAGCGUAUGCACAUGGAUGGACUCGCGGUGCAUUUGCUAGUUGGGGGGGUAACGGCUUACCAAGGUCGUGAUGCAUAGCCGAUCAGAGAGGCUGAUCGGCCACAUUGGAACUGAGACACGGCCCAAACUCCUGCGGGAGGCAGCAGUAGGGAAUCUGCCGCAAUGGACGCAAGUCUUACGGAGCAACGCCGCGUGAGUGAAGAAGGCUUUCGGAUCGUAAAACUCUGUUGUUAGAGAAGAACAAGUGCUGGAGUAACUGUUAGCGCCUUGACGGUAUCUAACCAGAAAGCAACGGCUAACUACGUG
rnacentral:rRNA from 1 species